UCCCUGGUAGCUCAGGUGGUGAAGAAUAUGCCUGCAAUGCAGGAAACCCGGGCUCAAUUCCUGGCUAGGGAA
rnacentral:tRNA from 1 species